UCCCUGGUGGUUCAGAUGGUAAAGACUCUGCCUGUAACACAGACAACCCAGGUUCGAUCCCUGGGUGGGGAA
rnacentral:tRNA from 1 species